GACGAACGCUGGCGGCGUGCUUAACACAUGCAAGUCGAACGGAAAGGCCCUGCUUUUGUGGGGUGCUCGAGUGGCGAACGGGUGAGUAACACGUGAGUAACCUGCCAUUGACUUUGGGAUAACUUCAGGAAACUGGGGCUAAUACCGGAUAGGAGCUCCUGUUGCAUGGUGGGGGUUGGAAAGUUUAGGCGGUUGGGGAUGGACUCGAGGCUUAUCAGCUUGUUGGUGUGGUAGUGGCUUACCAAGGCUUUGACGGGUACGCGGCCUGAGCGGAUGACCGGCCACAUUGGUACUGAGAUACGACCCAGACUCCUACGGGAGGCAGCAGUGGGGAAUAUUGCACAAUGGGCUGAAGCCUGAUGCAGCAACGCCGCGUGCGGGAUGACGGCCUUCGGGUUGUAAACCGCUUUCGCCUGUGACGAAGCGUGAGUGACGGUAAUGGGUAAAGAAGCACCGGCUAACUACGUG
rnacentral:rRNA from 1 species